rnacentral:rRNA from 1 species
GUGCGUAACGCGUAUGAAACCUACCUGUUACACGGGGAUAGCCCGAAGAAAUUCGGAUUAAUACCCGAUGGUAUUGUUUGGGGGCAUCCUUGAGCAAUUAAAGCUUUGGCGGUAACAGAUGGUCAUGCGUCCCAUUAGCUAGUUGGCAGUGUAAAAGACUCCCAAGGCGACGAUGGGUAGGGGUUCUGAGAGGAAGGUCCCCCACACUGGUACUGAGAUACGGACCAGACUCCUACGGGAGGCAGCAGUAGGGAAUAUUGGGCAAUGGGCGAGAGCCUGACCCAGCCAUGCCGCGUGCAGGAAGACGGCCCUCUGGGUUGUAAACUGCUUUUAUAGGGGAAGAAAACGCUCUUGCGAGAGUAACUGACGGUACCUUAUGAAUAAGCAUCGGCUAACUCCGUGCCAGCAGCCGCGGUAAUACGGAGGAUGCAAGCGUUGUCCGGACUUACUGGGUUUAAAGGGUGCGUAGGCGGCUUAGUAAGUCAGAAUUAAAAGUCGGCAGCUCAACUGUCGUAAGGUUCUGAUACUGCUGAGCUUGAGUGAAAUGGAGGCAACUGGAAUGGGUAGAGUAGCGGUGAAAUGCAUAGAUACUACCCGGAACACCAAUAGCGAAGGCAAGUUGCUACACUUCAACUGACGCUGAGGCACGAAAGCGUGGGGAUCAAACAGGAUUAGAUACCCU